UUGCAGGUAAUUUCAUAUUUUUAUGCAACUAUUUAUUGGAAAUAAUAUCAGCAAUGAAUAAUUAAUUGCUGAUUUUAACAUUGUAAAUAACAGUCAAUGAAUUUAUUGAUCAUAUAGUUUAAUUGCCGGAGAGAUUCUUUUGUGUUUGUUUCCAUGCAGCUUAGAGUACUGAGCUCAUUUACCAGGAGCUUGAUCUUAUCACGUGAUGCCGCUUUCUGCUUCAUAUUACCCUGGAACAGAUGGCCUACUUCCUCAACAUCUUUUGUUUCCUUCAAUCAUGGAAGUGAUUAGAUUUGAAUUCAGUAGUAGUUGAAAAUAAAUUCUAUCCCUUUACAUUAUAACCUUGAAAUUUUUUAUGUUUCUAAUCCUUCUGUUUUGUCUUUCAAUUUUGCUUGUAGAGGCCACAGCUGGUAAAGGGGAAUAUGCAGCUUUUUUCUGUGGAUCAGCAGCGUAGUCAAGCUCUUGAAGCACAUGCUGCAUCAUUUGCUUCACUCAAGGUUGCUGGAAAUGAAAAUUCUUCCAUUCUUAUUGCCUUUGCCUCAAAGACCACCAAUGCAGGACAGAUAUACAUCAAAGUUACAUGUGAUUGACCUUGGUGCUCAGCCAGGUCAACCUGGUUUCACAAAGAAACAAGCAGAUCUUUUCUUCCCUCCAGAUUUUGCUGAUGACUUCCCAGUGGCAAUGCAGCAAGCCGCACCUAUUACUAGAGCAGAAGAGGAUGGCAUACUUAAAGGGGAUGGUAUUGAUUAUGAGGUUCCUGGCAAAGGCCUUAACCAAAGUUCUAUUUUAGAAGACAUGGAAAGCCUGUUUUAAAGGAAGCGCUGAAAUUAGCCAAUAUGUGUGGCUAGCCUGAAUCUCACUAAGUUCUCUUGAUCUUAUUACAGGUCCAAGCAGUUGCAAUAAAUCAACAUGUGACAUUCUUCUUAAUAGGUCUUUUCAUCACUCGAUGAUCAUGGUCCAAGCAGUUGCAUUAAAUCAACAUGUGACAUUCUUCUUAAUAGGUCUUUUCAUCACUCGAUGGUCAUGCUUCUUUGCAAUGAAGCAUUUUGUUAGAUUUACUAAGAGAACGAUGAAGCUUGUUGGUUUCCAUCAUAUUCAUCAGGUUUUUAAUUCUUCUAUGAGUGAGAUUUUUCUUAACACUUCUUGUUAUUAAUUGAUCAUGGAAUUAUUAUUUUGAAUUUUAAGGAUCUUAUUUGAUUAUAUUGGGGGUUGAUAUGUGGAGAUUCUAUUCUUCCCUUUUAGUUAUAAUACCAUGCGGUUACCAUUUGUGAUGGUUCAACAUAUGUACUUACUGUUUUUUUUAUACUUGUCCAUCAAGUUUGUUUGCCUCUGCUUGUUUCAAUGGUUUGCUAGUUUUAGUUAAUUACUUUAAAGAUACACUAUUAGAAUGAUGUGAAUAGUUUUUCAUUUUUAUGAAGGGGAAUAGUUUCUAUGAUAAUGUUACAUUCAAUUUAUUAGUUGUACUUGUAGAUUGUAUGUUAAUUUUUUAUGGUACACUAUAUUAAAUUAUCCAAUUAGUUGAGGUGGUUUGGUGUACCUUGGGAGAUGUAGAAUGACGACUUCUCUUUUUAGUGGCUUUAGUAUAAUAGUCGGCUACAUUGGUUUAUUUUAUGUGACCUAAUCUAUUGAAUAUCAUGUGGACCAUUUCUAAUGAUGCAAACUAUUUGCAUAAUUUGGUCCAAUUUGAAUGGUCCAUCGUUGAUAUGAGUAGGCUCAUUUUGUUAAAUUCAAACUAUUCUUGUGGUUGGCCUAUAUUAAGUGAUCCAAUUUGCCAAUAUGGAUGUAUUCUUUUACAAUAAUCCAAAUUGUUUGUAGGAUUUAGCUCAUUUUUACUGAUCUAAACCUCUAAUUUGCCUGGGGCAUUUAAGUAUUGGAACCUUUGCCAUAAUUGGGCCAUUUUAAUCGAUUCAAACCAUUCAUAUGAUUGGGUGAUUCGGUGAUCCAAACUCUUGAUAUGAUUGAGGUUGUUUUUAGUGAUCCAAGUGCUUCAUAUGGUCUUGUGCCUUUUUCAUUAGUCCAACCGAAGUGAUAUUUAAAUGUAGAUUGUUUAGGUAUUCCAGUUCUUAAGUAUCUAUUUGUGAGCCACUUAUUCUAUAGUUUCGAUAUUUCUUGUUUGUGAUACUUGGUGCUUGGGUCAACCGUGCCUAUGAUUGAUUCAAAUCUCAGAGAUCCUAUAUAUGAUUGGGGCCUUGUUCAA